rnacentral:rRNA from 1 species
GAUGAACGCUGGCGGCGUGCCUAAUACAUGCAAGUCGAGCGAACGGACGAGAAGCUUGCUUCUCUGAUGUUAGCGGCGGACGGGUGAGUAACACGUGGAUAACCUACCUAUAAGACUGGGAUAACUUCGGGAAACCGUAGCUAAUACCGGAUAAUAUUUUGAACCGCAUGGUUCAAAAGUGAAAGACGGUCUUGCUGUCACUUAUAGAUGGAUCCGCGCUGCAUUAGCUAGUUGGUAAGGUAACGGCUUACCUAGGCAACGAUGCAUAGCCGACCUGAGAGGGUGAUCGGCCACACUGGAACUGAGACACGGUCCAGACUCCUACGGGAGGCAGCAGUAGGGAAUCUUCCGCAAUGGGCGAAAGCCUGACGGAGCAACGCCGCGUGAGUGAUGAAGGUCUUCGGAUCGUAAAACUCUGUUAUUAGGGAAGAACAUAUGUGUAAGUAACUGUGCACAUCUUGACGGUACCUAAUCAGAAAGCCACGGCUAACUACGUG